GGGCCUGUAGCUUAGCCUGGUGGAGCGAUGGUCUUAUAUGACCGCCAUUGGUACAUGUUAUCUAAGAAAGCCAUUGGUCGGCGGUUCAAAUCCGCUCAGGCCCA
rnacentral:tRNA from 1 species